GAGGAAUAUUGGGCAAUGCCCGCAAGGGUGACCCAGCAACGCCGCGUGGAGGAUGAAUGCCGUAAGGUUGUAAACUCCUGUUAGAGGGGAAGAAUAAUUCCGAUUGUAUCGGAACUUGACUGUACCCUCAGAGAAAGCCCCGGCUAACUACGUGCCAGCAGCCGCGGUAAUACGUAGGGGGCAAGCGUUGUCCGGAUUUACUGGGUGUAAAGGGCGCGCAGGUGGGCUUGAUAGUUAGAGGUGAAAUCCUGUGGCUUAACUGCAGAACUGCCUUUAAUACUUCAAGUCUUGAGUGCGGAAGAGAGAGACGGAAUUCCAGGUGUAGUAGUGAAAUACGUAGAUAUCUGGAAGAACACCAGUUGCGAAGGCGGUCUCUUGGUCCGUAACUGACACUUAGGCGCGAAAGCGUGGGGAGCAAAC
rnacentral:rRNA from 1 species